rnacentral:tRNA from 1 species
GGCAUUGUGGUUGAGUGGUAACGCGUUUGGCUUCCAAACCCAGGGGUCUCAGGUUCAAUUCCUGGAAAAGCCU